CCUACGGGUGGCAGCAGUGAGGAAUAUUGGUCAAUGGGCGAGAGCCUGAACCAGCCAAGUCGCGUGAGGGAGUACUGCCCUAUGGGUUGUAAACCUCUUUUGUCGGGGAGCAAAAGCCGGACGUGUCCGGCUGUGAGAGUACUCGAAGAAAAAGCAUCGGCUAACUCCGUGCCAGCAGCCGCGGUAAUACGGAGGAUGCGAGCGUUAUCCGGAUUUAUUGGGUUUAAAGGGUGCGCAGGCGGAUUUUUAAGUCAGCGGUAAAAUCGUGGGGCUCAACCCCAUCCAGCCGUUGAAACUGGGGAUCUAGAGUGUGCGAGAGGUAUGCGGAAUGCGUGGUGUAGCGGUGAAAUGCAUAGAUAUCACGCAGAACCCCGAUUGCGAAGGCAGCAUACCGGUGCACAACUGACGCUCAGGCACGAAAGCGUGGGUAUCGAACAGGAUUAGAUACCCUGGUAGUC
rnacentral:rRNA from 1 species